rnacentral:rRNA from 1 species
UACGUAGGGCGCAAGCGUUGUCCGGAAUUAUUGGGCGUAAAGAGCUCGUAGGCGGUUUGUCGCGUCUGCUGUGAAAACCUAAGGCUCAACCUUGGGCUUGCAGUGGGUACGGGCAGACUAGAGUGCGGUAGGGGUGACUGGAAUUCCUGGUGUAGCGGUGAAAUGCGCAGAUAUCAGGAAGAACACCCGUGGCGGAAGGCGGCUCUCUGGGACGGUACUGGACGCUGAGACGCGAAAAGCGUGGGGAGCGAACAGG